GAGUCGUUUUGAGAAAGAGCAACGAGAGGAGGAAUCCACAAGCAAGCCUCUGUUGUUAACACUGUGAGCACAGAGCUUCUCGAAUUCGCCUUCUUCCACCUUCUUCCACGAUCGCCUCUUACGAANAACAACUUCUCGAAUUCGCCCCGACGAACAACAGUUUCCCCGUCAAUCCAAACACAAUCCCCAUGAAUCUAGGAGAAAUUAGUGAAAUUAAUAGAAGAAAAAUGUAACAAAUUAGGAAAAAGCAAAGAGUACUAUGUGAACUAUGAAUCAUAAAACCUACUUGGUCACACUUUGGAGAUUUUGACGAAGAGACAGCGUAGGCAGUCUCAAAAGCAGCAGAAGGAGGAUUGUCCUCGGAGCACGGAGGAGAGAAGCGAGACUGAGAUGGAACGAAAAAUAUGCAAGAGUUUGGAGUAGAGGAGAGAAGAUCGACUGAGAUGGAACGAAAAAUAUGCAAGAGUUUGGAGUAGAGGAGAGAAGAUCGAGACUCAGAGCCAACGUGAUGAAACUAGACAUAGACAUGUGAGAGGGAAAUGUGAAAAAUUAAAGAGAUAUUAUAACGGAUUUCCAAAACUCCGUUAUAAU
rnacentral:lncRNA from 1 species